rnacentral:tRNA from 1 species
GCGGUCGUGGCGGAAUUGGUAGACGCGCAGCGUUGAGGUCGCUGUGGGGUUUAAACCCCGUGGAAGUUCGAGUCUUCUCGACCGCACCA